GGGACGAACGCUGGCGGCGUGCUUAACACAUGCAAGUCGAGCGGAAAGGCCUUUCGGGGUACUCGAGCGGCGAACGGGUGAGUAACACGUGAGUAAUCUGCCCAUCGCUUCAGGAUAGCCAUCGGAAACGGUGAUUAAUACUGGAUAUGACAUUCCUUCGCAUGUUGGGGUGUGGAAAGUUUUUUCGGCGGUGGAUGUGCUCGCGGCCUAUCAGCUUGUUGGUGGGGUAAUGGCCUACCAAGGCUUUGACGGGUAGCCGGCCUGAGAGGGUGACCGGCCACACUGGGACUGAGACACGGCCCAGACUCCUACGGGAGGCAGCAGUGGGGAAUAUUGGACAAUGGGCGGAAGCCUGAUCCAGCAACGCGCGUGAGGGAUGACGGCCUUCGGGUUGUAAACCUCUUUCAGCACGGACGAAGUUUUGUCUUUUUUGGUGUAGUGACGGUAUGUGCAGAAGAAGGACCGGCCAACGUACGUGCCAGCACGCCG
rnacentral:rRNA from 1 species